ACGACGCUGGCGGCAUGCUUACACAUGCAAGUCGCACGGACCCUUCGGGGUGAGUGGCGGACGGGUGAGUAUCGCGUAGGGAUCUAUCCACGGGUGGGGGAUAACAUCGGGAAACUGGUGCUAAUACCGCAUGAUACCUGAGGGUCAAAGGCGCAAGUCGCCUGUGGAGGAGCCUGCGUUCGAUUAGCUUGUUGGUGGGGUAAAGGCCUACCAAGGCGAUGAUCGAUAGCUGGUCUGAGAGGAUGAUCAGCCACACUGGGACUGAGACACGGCCCAGACUCCUACGGGAGGCAGCAGUGGGGAAUAUUGGACAAUGGGCGAAAGCCUGAUCCAGCAAUGCCGCGUGUGUGAAGAAGGUCUUCGGAUUGUAAAGCACUUUCGACGGGGACGAUGAUGACGGUACCCGUAGAAGAAGCCCCGGCUAACUUCGUGCCAGCAGCCGCGGUAAUACGAAGGGGGCUAGCGUUGCUCGGAAUGACUGGGCGUAAAGGGCGCGUAGGCGGUUUACACAGUCAGAUGUGAAAUUCCAGGGCUUAACCUUGGGGCUGCAUUUGAUACGUGUAGACUAGAGUGUGAGAGAG
rnacentral:rRNA from 1 species